AAAAUGACUUUAUUUUUGGGAUUUACUUUAAGCAAGCAGAUAUUAUCAAGACUAGCAAAAUGUUGAUAACUAGGUCAUGACUGUUGGGGUUGAUAUCCUUUUAUGUCUGUGUUUUUAAAUGUCUGUAAUAUAAACCUGGGAUAAUGAAAUAGUGGGGAAAAGUCAUAGGUCUUAAAAAAAUUGUCUUCAAAAAACAGCUCAAUGUCCCAUACAGCUUGACAUUAAAAAGACAGUUUCCCUCUCCUGUGGUAUUAUUUUCUGUGG
rnacentral:lncRNA from 1 species